GACGAAGGGGGCUAGCGUUGUUCGGAAUUACUGGGCGUAAAGCGCGUGUAGGCGGUUGCCCAAGUCGGGUGUGAAAGCCUUGAGCUCAACUCAAGAAAUGCACUCGGUACUGGGUGACUAGAGGACCGGAGAGGAUAGUGGAAUUCCCAGUGUAGUGGUGAAAUACGUAGAGAUUGGGAAGAACACCAGUGGCGAAGGCGGCUAUCUGGACGGUUUCUGACGCUAAGACGCGAAAGCGUGGGGAGCAAACA
rnacentral:rRNA from 1 species